rnacentral:rRNA from 1 species
AUUAAGCCAUGCAGGCCUCAGAAGUAGUAGCUAGAUCCGAAAUCUGCGGGAGGCUCCGUAUAUCUGUUAUAACCCUCCGCCCGGACUCGACUACGGAUAUCCCAUGGUAAUUCUUAGGCUAAUACGUGCAUCGACGAGCUGCCAGUGCGGGAUACCCGGUUCACCCCGGUUUCCCCCCGGUGCGGCUCGGGGCUUGCACGCCCUACCAAGGCCCCUCUAGAGGGUGCGGCGGGAAGGCGGGCAAGCGUGCCAUACCGUCCCUGCGGCGGUAUGGGCGAUGGACACCAGACCUAUCAACCUAGGUGCCGGGGCGAGCCCAGCACCGGUGAUAACGGGUACAGAGGAUCAGGGUUCGGUCCUGGAGAGGUAGCCUUAGAGAUCGCUACUACUUCUAAGGAAGGCAGCAGGCGCGCAACGUUCCCCAUGGGCACGCUCCCCCUGAGGACGUGACGGGGCAUAGCAACGCGGUACCGGAAAUCGGUUCUGUGAUUGCAAUGGGGCGGACUCAGAUCCCCCACCGAGUAACGAUUGGAGGACAAGUCUGGUGCCAGCACCCGCGGUAAUUCCAGCUCCAAUGGCAUCUCGUUAAAUUGCUGCAGUUAAAACGCUCGUAGUCAGGGUAGGGUGCGGCCUGGGGACCUAGUACGCUGGGGAUAAUACGUCUGGGCUGGUCUGUGGAGGCUUGGAGGGUAGACUAUUUGCACUGACCCUCCCCCCAUGCCAGUAACCCGGCACCCCCACUGGAAUGGCCUUGCCAGGUCCACCUACGAUGCCCUGAAGAAGGGGGAAUUGGGCUUCACUGCCCGUCCCCUGGACCAGGGCAGCAUACCUUGAAUAAAUUCGAGCGCUUAAUGCAGGUCCCACCGGACCAAUCAUGGAGGUCUCAGCAAGGAAUAUCAGAACAGGGGUCGUCCUGGUCCCUUGGUGCUAGGGCGACUAAUGAUCGAUAGGGGGGAUCGGGGUGGGCCACAUGGCGGGGGUAGGGGUGAAAUCCGAUGAUCCCCGCCAGGUGAACGAAGGCGAAAGCAGCCCACCAGUACUCUUCCUUUGAUCAAGAACGAAAGUCUGGGGAUCGAAGACGAUCAGAUACCGUCGUAGUCCAGACUAUAAACUGUGCCGACACGGGGUAGGCCGGCGUCCCUACUCGACCCGGCCCGGACCAUGGAGGGGAAACCAUAGUCCGGCUCCGGGGGGAGUAUGGUCGCAAGACUGAAACUUAAAGGAAUUG